rnacentral:lncRNA from 1 species
CAAUAUUGGGAAGGGAAGACGUCAAGAACUCAUACAAAUUAUAGUUAAUGAAUACAGAUUCGUCAGAAAGUUUUGGUGGAGCCUUAAUCGGACUCUGUUCUUCUCUUGCUUCUUGAAAUUCAUCAGAAGGUUUUAGGGGAGACUUCAUUGGACUCUGUUCUUCCCUUGCGUCAUGAAAUUCAUCAGGUUUUAGUGGAGACUUCAUUGGACUCUGUUCUUCUCUUGCUUCUUGAAAUUCAUCAGAGCUGGUACUCCUUCCAGAAACACAGUCCUUAUUCUCACUACAAAGUCUAAUUCUAGCAAUUUGCUUAUUGUUACUAUGAGUCCAAAUU